UCUCCGUUGGUGAACAAGCGGAGGGAUCAUUACCGAGUUUACAACUCCCAAACCCAAUGUGAACCAUACCAAACUGUUGCCUCGGCGGGGUCACGCCCCGGGUGCGUCGCAGCCCCGGAACCAGGCGCCCGCCGGAGGGACCAACCAAACUCUUUCUGUAGUCCCCUCGCGGACGUUAUUUUUACAGCUCUGAGCAAAAAUUCAAAAUGAAUCAAAACUUUCAACAACGGAUCUCUUGGUUCUG
rnacentral:misc_RNA from 1 species